UCUUUGCUUUUACUGCUAUAUUUGGAGUUACUCCACGCAUUGCUUAACGUAAAACAAAUAGUGGAUUUGUUUUUGUCUCAGGACCUACGGGCCAAGGGACAGUCUCAAGUAGACAGUUUCUAUGGGGCGUAGAUCUCUCAAAAGGUAACAAAGGCAUGCAAAGGUUUCCUCGGCCCGGACGGAGAUUGGCCCUCGAGUGCAAAGGCAGAAGAGAGCUUGAUUGCAAGACCCACCUGUUGAGCAAGGACAAAAGUCGGCCUUAGUGAUCUGACAGUGCCAAGUGGAAGGGCAGUCGCUCAACGGAUAAAAGUUACUCUAGGGAUAACAGACUGAUCUUCCCUAAGAGCUCACAUUGAUGGGAAGGUUUGGCACCUUGAUGUUGGCUCUUCGCCACCUGGGGUUGUAGUAUGUUCCAAGGGUUAGGCUGUUCGCCGAUUAAAGUGGUACGUUCUACUAAAAAAAAUGAGCAAAUUAGUUC
rfam:Gossypium arboreum cultivar AKA8401 contig_382_1, whole genome shotgun sequence.